rnacentral:rRNA from 1 species
UAGAGUUUGAUCAUGGCUCAGAUUGAACGCUGGCGGCAGGCCUAACACAUGCAAGUCGAGCGGCAGCACAGGGGAACUUGUUCCCUGGGUGGCGAGCGGCGGACGGGUGAGUAAUGGCUGGGAACCUGCCCUGAUGUGGGGGAUAACAGUUGGAAACGACUGCUAAUACCGCAUGAUGUCUACGGACCAAAGAGGAGGACCUUCGGGCUUCUCGCGUCAGGAUGGGCCCAGUUGGGAUUAGCUAGUUGGUAGGGUAAUGGCCUACCAAGGCGACGAUCCCUAGCUGGUUUGAGAGGAUGAUCAGCCACACUGGAACUGAGACACGGUCCAGACUCCUACGGGAGGCAGCAGUGGGGAAUAUUGCACAAUGGGCGCAAGCCUGAUGCAGCCAUGCCGCGUGUGUGAAGAAGGCCUUCGGGUUGUAAAGCACUUUCAGCAGUGAGGAAGGUGGUGUAGUUAAUACCUGCAUCAUUUGACGUUAGCUGCAGAAGAAGCACCGGCUAACUCCGUGCCAGCAGCCGCGGUAAUACGGAGGGUGCGAGCGUUAAUCGGAAUUACUGGGCGUAAAGCGCAUGCAGGCGGUCUGUUAAGCAAGAUGUGAAAGCCCCGGGCUUAACCUGGGAACCGCAUUUUGAACUGGC